rnacentral:lncRNA from 1 species
UUACUUGGUUCAUCAGUCUCAAAGCUCUUGGCAAUAUGCAAUAGAAAGCCAAAAACGGUUUAAAUUCACUUGCAGUGUACCUUUUCAGUAUGGAGAUGUGACAGCUCCACAGUACAGCCAAUGAUCCUGGCUCUCAUUCCCCUUUCAAAGGGACGAAAACCAGAAAACAUACAGAGAUCAAUUGCAGUCCUGCAGUUUAAAGGGGCACUCU